rnacentral:rRNA from 1 species
UACGUAGGGUGCGAGCGUUGUCCGGAAUUAUUGGGCGUAAAGAGCUCGUAGGCGGUGUGUCGCGUCGGCCGUGAAAACCUGCAGCUUAACUGUGGGCUUGCGGUCGAUACGGGCAUCACUGGAGUUCGGCAGGGGAGACUGGAAUUCCUGGUGUAGCGGUGAAAUGCGCAGAUAUCAGGAGGAACACCGGUGGCGAAGGCGGGUCUCUGGGCAACAACUGACGCUGAGGUGCGAAAGCGUGGGUAGCGAACGGG